UAUGCAUGUAUUAUUAGAUCUGGUAAAGUGAGCCAGGAAAUGUUUGUUUUUGAUACCAAUCUGUAGUAGGAUGGGGAAUUUAUUUGUGAUGACAUAUAUGUGCAAACACAUAACUGGAGUCUGGAACCAACUUGUAUCUAUUGCAUUGCAUAAGAUUGAUGAAUCUCAUAGGUUCUUGAGAUGAGAUAUCAUAUUUUCAGAUACUUGUAUUUUGAGUGGAAAAUACACUUUGAAACUAGAAAAACCUUAAGAAAGAAAAUUUCUUCCCAAAUAAUGUUGCUUUGGUUCCUUGAAUAAUGCUUAUGAUAUCGAAUAUACGGGUUUGGUCGAAAACAUGGAACAUGAUAUAGGCCUUUCAGAGUUGGUUAAACAUUAUUAGGUUACACUAUUGAUAAAGAUAGGUCUGUCCAGGUUCGAGGAAUUUGUGGAAAGAGAGGUGAAAAAGUUAUGUGGAAUAGAAUAGAUGUAGAUAAUAGAGCUAGACAUUGUUCCAAGGGUCCUGUGUAACAUAUAACAAAGAAGAAUGAGAUUUUCCAAGAUAUUUCUUUUUCAUUGAUUUGAAAGAAUUACAUUGAUAUUUUUGACCAUUUGUAAUCUCUUGUUUAUUUUAUGUUCCUUGUGAUGAACAGCAGAUCUCACGACUAGAUUGACUUCAUCCUCUCUGACCACUGACUUGUCAAAGAAAAAUGGUGCCUCUAAAUUCUUCAAAGAAGUCUUCUAAUGCAAAUGCACACGACAUAUUCAGGAUUGGUUCUAUUCUCUGCAUGCUUUCCCAAAGAGGUAUUUUCGCCAUUUACUAUGUAUUAGACAUGCUAUGAAUGGAACAAAGUGAAGUCGUUAUAUACCAAUGAUAUUAAGAGGUUGUAUGCUGUCAUUCAAGAUAUGCUCAGUAUUCCUAAACAAGAUGAGUUUAAGUCUAUCUACUUGGGACACAUUCAGAUAGUUACCAAGAUGUUUCUUCAGUUAUAUUAACUCUUUCUGCUGACAUUGAAACACAAAUGAAAAAUUAUGAUAAGUUAUUCAUGCUCAUCAGUUUGGCUGGCUUCCCUUGUGAUAUUGAUUCUGUCCAUCAACAUCUAUUGGCUAGUGUUUCUAUUCCCUCUGUGGAAGAUAUCUAUGCUCAACUACUGAGUUACACAACCGGUGCCUUGUAUAUUUGUCAGCGACUCAAUAUUACUUGCCUCAUACUCUUGCUAAUACUGCUUGCUUUGGGAAUCAAGUCUGUGGCAGCAGUCACCCCCCACUCAGAGUGUAUUUAUUGACAAAAGAUUGGCCAUACUUGUGUGUGAAUGUUGCUUGAAAUUGAAUGGAAAAGAACAAUGAAUUGCUAAUAUUGUUAAAACA